UACGUAGGGUGCGAGCGUUGUCCGGAAUUAUUGGGCGUAAAGAGCUUGUAGGCGGUCUGUCGCGUCUGCUGUGAAAACCUAAGGCUCAACCUUGGGCUUGCAGUGGGUACGGGCAGACUAGAGUGCGGUAGGGGUGACUGGAAUUCCUGGUGUAGCGGUGGAAUGCGCAGAUAUCAGGAGGAACACCGAUGGCGAAGGCAGGUCACUGGGCCGCAACUGACGCUGAGGAGCGAAAGCAUGGGGAGCGAACAGG
rnacentral:rRNA from 1 species